UACGUAGGGGGCAAGCGUUGUCCGGAAUUAUUGGGCGUAAAGCGCGCGCAGGCGGCUUUGUAAGUUUGGUGUUUAAUCUCAGAGCUCAACUCUGAUUCGCAUCGAAAACUGCAAGGCUUGAGUACAGAAGAGGAAAGUGGAAUUCCACGUGUAGCGGUGAAAUGCGUAGAGAUGUGGAGGAACACCAGUGGCGAAGGCGGCGCACUGGACCACAACUGACGCUGAGGCGCGAAAGCUAGGGGAGCAAACAGG
rnacentral:rRNA from 1 species